CAGUAGCCACGGUAAUACGAAGGGGGCUAGCGUUGUUCGGAAUUACUGGGCGUAAAGCGCACGUAGGCGGAUAUUUAAGUCAGGGGUGAAAUCCCGCAGCUCAACUGCGGAACUGCCUUUGAUACUGGGUAUCUUGAGUAUGGAAGAGGUUAGUGGAAUUGCGAGUGUAGAGGUGAAAUUCGUAGAUAUUCGCAGGAACACCAGUGGCGAAGGCGGCUAACUGGUCCAUAACUGACGCUGAGGUGCGAAAGCGUGGGGAGCAAACAGGAUUAGAUACCCCAGUAGUCCCUGUCUCUUAUAC
rnacentral:rRNA from 1 species